CUCACCCCGGAAUCCUGAGGGUCAAGUCACCCUAGAGACCUCCUCUUCAUUUCAGAGGAAAUCGGAAAUAUCUGGAAAGAGGUAGUAGUGAUGCCACUCUUCGCACACAUUCCUGGAAACUUCCUGGAUGGAUGCUCAACUGCCACCAAAAGCGGUGACGAGAUCGCUCAUCUCUGAAUCCUCUAUGUCUACAAGACUGCUUGGCAUAUGGAUUCCCUUGAUGCUACGGCCUUCCACAGAGCUGGGGGGAGCAUUCACUGCGCUCUGCUGCACUUCUAGAGCCGAAGUGGAGCUCCGCCUGAUCCACAGCAACUGAGCAUGAGACACAGGAUGGCCCCCAAAGGAAAUUCAUUGUCGUACUACAGGAAAAUGAGGGAUAGAUGCUGUGCAAGCAAAGUCAGCAUAUGUUUACUGAAUAUGGAAAUACUAAGUAAGAAAAUUUUCCUUUCCAUUUUAAUGAAGAAGUAGCCUUGGAGAUAAAGUUGAGCUGGAUUGAAUUUGCAAAAAUGAGGGAAAGAAAAAGGAAAGUGAUUAUGUAUUUCCUCGCAUGUUGGUUGUGUCCUCUGAAAUCUAAGUCCCAUGAAAGCAGGUGAUAGCCUGUUUUGUUGUCUUGUGAUCACAACCCUGAUGCCAUUGCAAUAUCUGUCACUUAGCAGAUAGUCAAUAAACAUUUGUUAAAUUUACAAAAAUGCCUUAGAGUUUAUUAAGCACAAGCAUCUUAUAGGAAAAGGAAUUAGGUGAGAGAAAAGGCAUUAAGGUAUGUUGAUCAUGUACUAUUUCCAGGCAAUCUGUAAGCUACUCUAUUGACCACCACCAAUUGCCCACAUAGAUUUUAUUAUCUUUACAAAAAGCCCAGGGUUUGGGUGGUCAGAAUGCACAGACCAGAGAACAUAGUGUUGAUGGAAGCAGGCUCUGAAAGCACAACUAAAAAUGACAUACCCAGGAACCACAGGGCAAAUUACAGACAGAACCACAGAGAGAGUCCAGGAUAACCAUUGUUAGUCCCUGUGCUAAAGGCACAAACACACAAACUGAACACAGCGCCACUACUUGUGACAAAUAUGGUUUCCUCUGCCAGCAGGCUUCAGCUCCCUAAUUAGAAACAGUUGCCUGCAACCAGUGUGCAGAACACACGUGCAACUCUAUGCCAGAAAUUUGGAUUUUAUUUUUCUCGAGGAAAAAA
rnacentral:lncRNA from 1 species